rnacentral:rRNA from 1 species
UACGGGGGGGGCAAGCGUUGUUCGGAAUUACUGGGCGUAAAGGGCUCGUAGGCGGCCAACUAAGUCGGACGUGAAAUCCCUCGGCUUAACCGGGGAACUGCGUCCGAUACUGGAUGGCUUGAGUUUGGGAGAGGGAUGCGGAAUUCCAGGUGUAGCGGUGAAAUGCGUAGAUAUCUGGAGGAACACCGGUGGUGAAGGCGGCAUCCUGGACCAACACUGACGCUGAGGAGCGAAAGCCAGGGGAGCAAACGGG